rnacentral:lncRNA from 1 species
ACUCUGGUCCUGAAGGAUAAGCAGGAGUUGGGAGGAGACUGCCUGCUGCGGACAUCCUCGAUCCACAGCCCCAUGCUGUCUCUGGGUACCUGCAUUUUACCUUCAGCAAAGGUUGCAUUCCCAACAGACGGAGGUUCAAGGCGCUGCUGGUGGUAGGGGUAGGUAGCACUGGGGACCGAAGACACGGUGAAAGGAAAACCCUCAAACACUUUCUACUUUUGCUUUUAGCAGAUUCAGCCAACAGACAAGACGUCCGUCCCCAUUGCCCAGAGGAACUAACAUGGUGGUGUUCAGUGAGAAGACCAAUCAGCCUCCCUAAUAAAGCAGGGCAGUCCACUCUGCUAUAAACCC